rnacentral:rRNA from 1 species
UACAGAGGGGGCAAGCGUUGUUCGGAAUUACUGGGCGUAAAGGGCGCGUAGGCGGGUCGGUAAGUCAGGGGUGAAAUCCCACGGCCCAACCGUGGAAGUGCCUCUGAUACUGCCGGCCUCGAGGGGGAUAGGGGCGUGCGGAACUCAGGGUGGAGCGGUGAAAUGCGUAGAUAUCCUGAGGAACACCGGCGGCGAAAGCGGCGCGCUGGAUCCCUUCUGACGCUGAGGCGCGAAAGCCAGGGGAGCAAACGGG